GAUGAACGCUGGCGGCGUGCCUAAUACAUGCAAGUCGAGCGAACAGAUGAGGAGCUUGCUCCUCUGACGUUAGCGGCGGACGGGUGAGUAACACGUGGAUAACCUACCUAUAAGACUGGGAUAACUUCGGGAAACCGGAGCUAAUACCGGAUAAUAUAUUGAACCGCAUGGUUCAAUAGUGAAAGACGGUUUUGCUGUCACUUAUAGAUGGAUCCGCGCCGCAUUAGCUAGUUGGUAAGGUAACAGCUUACAAAGGCGACGAUGCGUAGCCGACCUGAGGGGGUGAUCGGCCACACUGGAACUGAGACACGGUCCAGACUCCUACGGGAGGCAGCAGUAGGGAAUCUUCCGCAAUGGGCGAAAGCCUGACGGAGCAACGCCGCGUGAGUGAUGAAGGUCUUCGGAUCGUAAAACUCUGUUAUUAGGGAAGAACAAAUGUGUAAGUAACUAUGCACGUCUUGACGGUACCUAAUCAGAAAGCCACGGCUAACUACGUG
rnacentral:rRNA from 1 species